GGGUGAGUAACACGUGGGCAACCUGCCUGUAAGAUCGGAAUAACCCCGGGAAACCGGGGCUAAUGCCGGGUAAUACUUUCUUUCGCAUGAAGGAAAGUUGAAAGAUGGCUUCUCGCUAUCACUUACAGAUGGGCCCGCGGCGCAUUAGCUAGUUGGUGAGGUAACGGCUCACCAAGGCGACGAUGCGUAGCCGACCUGAGAGGGUGAUCGGCCACACUGGGACUGAGACACGGCCCAGACUCCUACGGGAGGCAGCAGUAGGGAAUCUUCCGCAAUGGACGAAAGUCUGACGGAGCAACGCCGCGUGAACGAUGAAGGUCUUCGGAUCGUAAAGUUCUGUUGUUAGGGAAGAACAAGUACCGUGCGAAUAGAGCGGUACCUUGACGGUACCUAACGAGGAAGCCCCGGCUAACUACGUGCCAGCAGCCGCGGUAAUACGUAGGGGGCAAGCGUUGUCCGGAAUUAUUGGGCGUAAAGCGCGCGCAGGCGGUUCCUUAAGUCUGAUGUGAAAGCCCACGGCUCAACCGUGGAGGGUCAUUGGAAACUGGGGAACUUGAGGACAGAAGAGGAGAGUGGAAUUCCACGUGUAGCGGUGAAAUGCGUAGAUAUGUGGAGGAACACCAGUGGCGAAGGCGACUCUCUGGUCUGUUUCUGACGCUGAGGUGCGAAAGCGUG
rnacentral:rRNA from 1 species